CAAAACUCCACCUCAAAAAAGAAAAAAGAGGGGCAUCCUACAAAAUACCUGACCAGUACUCCUUAAAACUGUCACAGUCAUCAAGAACAAGGAAAGUCUGAGAAAGUGUCACCGCCAAGAAGAGAUAGGAGAAUUAUUUGUAACGUAGUAUCCUGGAUGGGAUCCUGGAAAGAAAAAGGACACCAGGGUCAUGAACUAGAACCAAGCCAACUUGGCCUUUAUUGGAACAGUGAACUUGGGGCUCCAGCUCUUGAGCCAGCAAGCAAAUGACCUGUUGACUUAAGCAAGUUUCAACU
rnacentral:lncRNA from 10 species